UUAGAGUUUGAUUCUGGCUCAGGAUGAACGCUAGCGAUAGGCUUAACACAUGCAAGUCGAGGGGCAGCACGGUGUAGCAAUACACUGGUGGCGACCGGCGUACGGGUGCGUAACACGUAUGCAACCUACCCGCUAUUGGGGGAUAACCCGGCGAAAGUCGGACUAAUACCCCAUAUUAUUCUUACCGGGCAUCCGGUAGGUCUGAAAGAUUUAUCGGUAAGGGAUGGGGAUGCGCUCCAUUAGGUUGUAGGUAGGGUAAUGGCCUACCUAGCCUAUGAUGGAUAGGGGUUCUGAGAGGAAGGUCCCCCACAUUGGAACUGCGACACGGUCCAAACUCCUACGGGAGGCAGCAGUGAGGAAUAUUGGUCAAUGGCCGGAAGGCUGAACCAGCCAAGUAGCGUGCAGGAUGACUGCCUUAUGGGUUGUAAACUGCUUUUUUACGGGAAUAAUUAUGAUCACGUGUGAUUAUUUGCAUGUACCGUAAGAAUAAGGAUCGGCUAACUCCGUGCCAGCAGCCGCGGUAAUACGGAGGAUCCUAGUGUUAUCCGGAUUUAUUGGGUUUAAAGGGAGCGUAGGCGGGAGGUCAAGUCAGCUGUGAAAUGUAUCUGCUUAACGGGUACACUGCAGUUGAAACUGGUUUUCUUGAGUGCGUAAGAGGCAGGCGGAAUUCGUUGUGUAGCGGUGAAAUGCUUAGAUAUGACGAGGAACUCCUAUUGCGAAGGCAGCUUGCUGGGUCGUUACUGACGCUGAUGCUCGAAGGUGCGGGGAUCAAACGGGAUUAGAUACCCUGGUAGUCCGCACAGUAAACUCUAAAUGCUCUCUGCCGGCGAUACAAUUGUCGGUGGCCAAGCGAAAGCGUUAAGUAUCCCACCUGGGGAGUACGUUCGCAAGAAUGAAACUCAAAGGAAUAGACGGGGGCCCGCACAAGCGGAGGAACAUGUGGUUUAAUUCGAUGAUACGCGAGGAACCUUACCCGGGUUUGAAUUGCUGAUGGCGAUAAUUGGAGACAGUUAUUUCCCUUCGGGGCGUCAGUGAAGGUGCUGCAUGGUUGUCGUCAGCUCGUGCCGUGAGGUGUCGGCUUAAGUGCCAUAACGAGCGCAACCCUCGCCGUUAGUUGCCAUCGGGUCAUGCCGGGCACUCUAUUGGGACUGCCAUCGUAAGAUGUGAGGAAGGUGGGGAGGACGUCAAAUCAGCACGGCCCUUAUGUCCGGGGCGACACACGUGUUACAAUGGGGGGUACAGUGGGAAGAUACCUGGCGACAGGUUGCGGAUCCCCAAAUCCUUUCUCAGUUCGGAUCGGAGUCUGUAACUCGACUCCGUGAAGUUGGAUUCGCUAGUAAUCGCGCAUCAGCCAUGGCGCGGUGAAUAAAAUCCCGGGCCUUGCACUCACCGCCCG
rnacentral:rRNA from 1 species